CGUUAGCUCCGGAAGCCACGUCUCAAGACACAGCUCCAAAUCGACAUCGUUUACGGCGUGGACUACCAGGUAUCUAAUCCUGUUUGCUCCCCACGCUUUCGCACCUGAGCGUCAGUCUUUGUCCAGGGGCCGCCUUCGCCACCGGUAUUCCUCCAGAUCUCUACGCAUUUCACCGCUACACCUGGAAUUCUACCCCCCUCUACAAGACUCUAGCUGGACAGUUUUAAAUGCAAUUCCCAGGUUGAGCCCGGGGCUUUCACAUCUAACUUAUCCAACCGCCUGCGUGCGCUUUACGCCCAGUAAUUCCGAUUAACGCUUGCACCCUCCGUAUUACCGGGCUGCUGGCACGGAGUUAGCCGGUGCUUCUUCUGCGAGUAACGUCACAGCUGGCAGUUAUUAGCUACCAACCUUUCCUCCUCGCUGAAAGUGCUUUACAACCCGAAGGCCUUCUUCACACACGCGGCAUGGGCUUGCAUCAGGGGUUUCCCCCCAUUUGUGCAAAUAUUCCCC
rnacentral:rRNA from 2 species